rnacentral:misc_RNA from 1 species
GAUGAAGAACGCAGCGAAAUGCGAUACGUAGUGUGAAUUGCAGAAUUCAGUGAAUCAUUGAAUCUUUGAACGCACAUUGCACCUCUCGGUAUUCCGGGAGGUAUGCCUGUUCGAGCGUCAUUUGUACCCUCAAGCUCUGCUUGGUGUUGGGUGUUUGUUCCGCCUCUGUGUGUGAACUCGCCUCAAAACAAUUGGCAGCCGGCGUACUUGUUUCGGAGCGCAGCACAUUUUGCGAUCCAGAUCAACGUACAGCGGCAUCCAAGAAGCCUUAUUUAACGCUCUUGACCUCGGAUCAGGUAGGGAUACCCGCUGAACUUAAGCAUAUCAAUAAGCGGAGGA